GUGGGGAAUUUUCCGCAAUGGGCGCAAGCCUGACGGAGCAAUACCGCGUGGGGGAGGAAGGUCUUUGGAUUGUAAACCCCUUUUCUCAGGGAAGAAAAUUUGACGGUACCUGAGGAAUCAGCCUCGGCUAACUCCGUGCCAGCAGCCGCGGUAAGACGGAGGAGGCAAGCGUUAUCCGGAAUUAUUGGGCGUAAAGCGUCCGCAGGUGGCGAUUCAAGUCUGCUGUCAAAGGUCGGGGCUUAACCCCGGGAAGGCAGUGGAAACUGAAUAGCUAGAGUGCGGUAGGGGCAGAGGGAAUUCCCGGUGUAGCGGUGAAAUGCGUAGAGAUCGGGAAGAACACCAGUGGCGAAAGCGCUCUGCUGGGCCUGCACUGACACUGAGGGACGAAAGCUAGGGGAGCGAAAGGGAUUAGAAACCCGAGUAGUCC
rnacentral:rRNA from 1 species